rnacentral:misc_RNA from 1 species
GGAGACAGUCAGCUUCAGUGCCUCCGAUUCGCUAAACGUGGAGUAACGAACCGUUUCAAUCUCUCAGUGCUCUUCAAGCGCUCCUGCAGGCUCAAUCUUACCAUCAGGCGUAACGAUCAGUAGACAGUCCUCUGCGAAGUCUUCAGUUUUGAACGAUAUCUCCCAGCAUACGUGAAGAUAUUAGGAAGUUUAUGUGACAUCAGAGACCAUCGCACCGCUUCAGAGACCAGGUCACACACCGCGGGCAAGAUGACUGCCAGAUGUCUACACAUCCUUA